GACCCCAGUAAUUGUAACAAAAUGAACGACUGAAACAGACAGAAUUUACAGAAACCUCAUACAGGCUCUAGUGCUCCGAUGUCGGUCUGUUCCAGUGCCGUUUGACAGGGCAGGUGUUUCUGAUGGAGGGGGAGGUGCUGUACAAGGCUGUCCAAUGGGACGAGAAUCUCCUGCAUUCUACAGGCCGGACUCAUGCAGGAGCCCUGUUCAGACCUUCAGGGGUCUGUCCGUCAGCUACACCUCCCACACUGUGACAUUCCCUCUGGAGAUGGUCUUGGUUCCCUGUCUGUGGCCCAUGUGACUGGUGACAGUGUGGAGGUUUUAUCGCCGCUGAGGGUGACUGACACACACACACAGUGGUGAAACACCAGCAACCUCUCCUUAUGGGGCCUUGUCAGAAAGUACAUACGGGACGCCCUGCUCUCGAUCAAGGGGCAGGUGUUGCCUUUCCGAUCACUCCAAUCAGUUAUCAAUGUGAUCGUCCUGCCAUCAUGUGCCACUUGAACAGGUUGAAGCGGCAACAGACAGGGAACACUUGCGUACAGCUCUGUUUCGGACUGCAUUCUCACUCGAGGGGAAACAUACAGUCUGAAGACUGAAGAGGAUAACCGCCAAGGUAGACUCUGACAGGUGUUGCAUGCUAAUAAUGUCACAUCUUGAUCAGAGUAACAGCUGUACGCUGAUGCUACAUACUGGAUAUUCCAUGACAAUAAUUACCUCAUGUUAAGUGCACUUUUCUAAAUGGUCACUCAUUCUGUAAGGUGCGUAGAUAUGCAUGCGCAGCUAUGGAAGAUGACUAAAUAGUCAAGUUCAAAUCAGCUGCAUCUAUUACCUGCCUCUAUGUAGUCUCUAUAGACAGACGGGUUGCCUCACACGAUGUACCAAUGUUCCAAUAUCCGCGUCUGUACAAGUACCUGUGUUAAUAGGGACAGAGAGGAGGGGUCGGAAAUGGGAUGUGCGUUAUCGCCUUAUCUGGUGACGUCAACGUCGUAUCUGCUUUUGCCCUAGCUUUAAACAUCCCCGCCAGACACAAAGUACUAGCUAGCUAGCAAGAUGGAGAACGCAGAGGUUAUUUUUAAUGAGUGCAAGUGUCAAGUUCGCGUCAUCUACCUUCACUAAAACCACUGCAAAGGUUUUUCCUGCAAACUUUGGUUUUGAAUCUCAAUGUUCUGGCAUGUCUGCUUUCAGGGUACGGAAAGAGUUAGAUUUUUCAGGCUUGGCCCUCCUACCCAAACUCGUGAUUUUGGUGGGAGAGUUGUCUGUCUAAAGAGGACCCUCCCCUUUCAAAAUGUCUAAGAGAAUCAGACAUCCCCCCCCCCUGGGAUUUCCAAGACUGGUCACUGAGCAAAAUGACAUCAAAUUAGUAUUAUGACAUUGUAUGCAGUAGGCUAGAUGUUAGCAAGAGAGCUUCUUAAAUUGAUGGCAAGUUUUUCUAAAUAAUCUCACAAACUAAACCAAUAAGCAUUUGUCUAAUGAUCUAGAUGAGCGGGGGACUGAUUCCAAGUUCAAGACGUUCCAAUGCUGCAGGUUUUCGUGUAGCACGUGCCCAGAACGACUUAUGGACAUUUACAAAAUGUGAAAAGGCAUUCUGUGGGGUGGGGAAAAUAGGAUGCUAAGCUGCUGCCGUUAUGUCAUUUGAUCUAGUUGACAUUAUUUUGCUCUAUAGUUUGUAUCUCAAUUGCAGAAUGUACUGCAGAAAAUACAAGUUGGUGAAGAAUCCAUGAACCAUUUCACUUUCCCCCCCCCCCCAUCAUUGUUCUAUAUGACUGCCACUACGUUCCAAACUACCAUACAACCUUUUCAGGUGUUGCUGGAUGCAGAUACAAAGGGUAUGGAGCUAAUAAGGCUUCUGAAAAGAGGGCUUGAUAGAGAGGUGUGGACGAAGGUGUGGACCGGGCUUGUGUGUCUGCCAGGUAAAACCUUGAAGUUAGUCUGUCAACAAGGUGUAUCCAAAUCUGAUUCAUGCCACUGUUUGCCAGGUACUCCCUCUGCCCCAGGUCUAUAUCCAACCUCGUUUAGAGGGGAAGGAUGAAACCCAGCAGGGUUACAGACUUCAAGGACGGACCUCUUGUAUUUGAGAAGGGAGUCCGUAAAUCCGUCCAACCACCAUUCCCACACAGGUGAAUAUGUAUUACACACAGGUGAAUACGUCUUCAUUUUUCUCCGAC